CUUGCCCUGAAAGGAUUAAUGAAGAGUGAGAAGGGGGCUAGUUAACCCAACAGGACACAGCAGAGACAAUCAGGUGGCUAAGCAAUCCCCUGAUUGAAUGAGGGAGCCCAGCUGAGGAGGAAUGAGCUGGGCUGGGACUAUAAAGGCAGGAAAUUGGCAGCAGAAAGGGGCUGCUAGGAAAGUCUGUAGUCACUCUCUGAGAGAGGGGAGGUACCAGGAGGGUAGGAUGGGGCUCAGGGAAAGUAGUAAGGCCUAGAAGGGAACAGACCUUGAGUGCUGGCUAGAGGGUCCCUGACCCAGAACCUGGAGUAGAGGGGGAGGGCUUGGGUUCUUUCCCAUCCUUGAAUGAUAUGGGAAAGACUUGAAUGGGUGACCGCCACAGAUUUUCACCUUGGCGUUUAUACAUCAUGGCAUGCCUCAACAAGUAUUAAAAAGCUGAGCUUUGCGUGGAAACGUGGAAGACUUGGGUGCAUUCUACUGAAUUCUUUUCAAUGUGCAUAUUUAAAUGAGGACCAGCGAUGGAACUUGGGGCCCCAGCCAAUGGCCUGGAGAAUGGAUACCCCAGCGACUAGUGACCUGGUGACCGGAGGGCCCAGCUCAGAAGUCACAGCCAGUUCUGGCCAGUGGGAGGACAAUGGGCUGUGAAGAUGUGACAGAUUUCUGUUACCAAUCUGCCUGAAGCAUCAGGUGAUCAGUCUGAGGCCACAGGAUCGUUAAGGGAGGAGAUGACG